rnacentral:rRNA from 1 species
AGAACCUUACCUGGGCUCGAACGGCCAGCUAACGAUCGUGGAAACACGGUUACUCCGCAAGGGGGUCCGGUCGAGGUGCUGCAUGGCUGUCGUCAGCUCGUGUCGUGAGAUGUUGGGUUAAGUCCCGCAACGAGCGCAACCCUUGUCCUGUGUUGCCACUCCGUAAGGAAGCACUCGCAGGAGACCGCCAGCGAUAAGCUGGAGGAAGGUGGGGAUGAUGUCAAGUCAUCAUGGCCUUUAUGUCCAGGGCUACACACGUGCUACAAUGGCCGGUACAAAGCGCUGCAAACCCGCGAGGGGGAGCCAAUCGCAAAAAACCGGUCUCAGUUCGGAUCGCAGGCUGCAACCCGCCUGCGUGAAGCUGGAAUCGCUAGUAAUGGCGUAUCAGAAUGAUGCCGUGAAUACGUUCCCGGGCCUUGUCACACCGA